CAUGGUAGAUUUACCGAGCGUCGCCUUCAAACCUUCUCCGCUAAAACCUUCGAUUUUACGUUUCUUUUCGCGAAAUAUGAUAACUUGUGGCGACAGCCUGUUCUGAGAUGUUUCUCCACAAGUAUAAUGACAAGUCCUGAGCUGUGGAUUCAAUUCACCUCGCCAUCUCCAAGUCCAAGCAAGAUAACCAUGUCAGUUCUAGAGCAUAUUGAGACAGGCUGGCCAAAGAUGUUUCUCCUUGUAUAAUAACAAACGCUGAGCUAUGGAUUGACUUCACCUCGCCACCAUCCCCACUUCAAAGCAAGAAUCACCUAAGUAGAGAGACCUUAUUGAGGCCCUGCUGAAGACCAUGAGUUACGUUUAGACUAACUAGAGGGGCAGGUAAUGUUAUGGAGCAAGAACAGCAUGAGUUGGCAAGUAAUGAUGUUCCAACCAAGGACAACACCAGAACAGUACACCACUCGAACAGGAGACUUCUGCGAGGGUACAGCCGUCUCGGGGGCACUGUUGGGAGAAUUGUUGUGGCAAUGCUGGUUUGAGAGCCUGUUUCAAGAUCAUGGAUAGGUGGAUGCAUGGAUGUCACAGAGGCUGUCCAACAGAGACCGAGCGUUGUCAUCAAGUAGAAAAAGGGGAAAUGGUUUGGUUUGGCAUGGCAAAGUAUACACUGGCAAAUUGUCAAAAGGGGAUGGUGACUUAGGUGCCUCCUAUAUAUAUAAACUCACAUGUUUGUUUGUUUAGUGACGAAUUCACUUCGCCGUAAAUAGGCGGUUUAAAAUGAUUUCUUGCCUGUGAUCUGAGGCACAGUAAGAGCUGCUGAAACAGUGAUGCCAGUCAUUCAUGCACUCGUGACACUGAUCCCUUUCCAACACGGGAACAAGAAAUUGGGUUGGGCAAGAAAAGGAAAGUUGACACCACAUUGGAUUUAAAAGCAGUGUGAUGGAUAAAUCAAUAAUUUAGAAUGAAAGAAUUGAAUGAAUGAAAACUGUGGUCCUUUCCAGCGCCUCCAUCUGAUGACGAUCUAGACAGAAAAAGUGUACAGGUGUCGCACAAUUGGCCUACUGAUAAGCCAAGAAAAGUCUACACACCUCCAAUGCCUUUACCAACAUUUGACUUGGAUCGGCUGAGCGACACAAUAUCUGAUUGAAGACAACGAUGAAGGAAUCUACUAUGUAUUUGCAAGAACAAGCAAUCUUAGGAUACAAGCACCUCCACUUGAAAACCACCGAUAUUGUGAAGCUGGUAGAGUGCUGUAACUUCUCUCGUAGAAAAGCUGGGCAUGGAUCACAUCGACCAAGACUUGCAGGGCCAAAAGAUUCUAUGUAUUUCGACAGCUGUGCAUUUCUUUGGGAUCGGCUGAGCACGAUGGGACCCUUUCCAUGCGGACUCGAAAGAACAUCUGUCAUUUAUGGUGGUGAUCAAGGGAGUCGACAAUAUCUUUGCAUGACCAAAUUUAAAGCUAUCGAAUUCAAGAUUUGAAUACCCACCAGUUAGGUCCUCGAAUGGUCCAGUGCGUGCUAGAGCAUGUACAGUGUAGAAUCUUGUGAAGGAGAGGGCACCAAAAAUACCUGGACUUUUUCAGCGGAAGAUGACUUGUUUUUAAUGCAGGCCUAAAGGUUUAGAAGUUAUAUUUGAAAUCUGCAGGACUAUGGUUUACCCUCAGUGAGCCUUGAAACGAAGUGAAAUGAAGAGUCUGCAUUUUUGUGCAACUCCAUACCAGUAGUUAUGUGCAGACUUGGCUCUUUCUUUGGAGCAGUACAGUUGCAAGAUAAAUCCUGUUUGUAAUUUUAUGAAUUAGUUGCUCAUUAAGGGCUUACGAAGGUUUUGAUGCCUUGCUGGCAUAUCUGCAUACCAGUAAAUAUGUGCAGAUUCAUUUCUUGCUUUGAAGCAAUAUUGUUGCUACACUCCUAAAGCAGGGGCAAUGUUCAGGUCUUUUCUGCCUCGUGGGCAAAUCUGCAUACCAGUAAUUAUGUGCAGACUUGGCUCUUGCAGAGAUUGUAGGACUGGGUCCAUUGAAUGUAACAAAAAUAAUCGAUGCCAAUUUACAAAUGAAAUGAAGAGUCUGCAUUUUUGAUGCAACU